AACUAAAACUUUUGACAAAACUUGCUUCCUACUUGCGUACUUAUACCCUGUACAACACAAUUCUGCAAGGUUUUGUGGAUCUGACAUUGGUAGCUCCUCCACUCCUUCCAAGCAUGGCGGUGUACAGAAAAUUGAGUUAGCAACAAUUGUGGAGUUUAUUGUCUGUGUCGUGAAUUCACCACCUCAGGCGGUACGAUAGAAUUCCACUGCACUGGCCAAGUCGAUGACAGUGAGAAAACUGAUGGACCAAUGCUUCAUCAUCAAAGCUUUGCUUACAAGGAGGUGGUGACUACCCUGGAAAUGAUAUUCUGGAUGCUGUGACUCUCACUAUUAACCCUCUCAUGUGAUGAGGAGCAGUGGUUCACAUAAUACCACAUGAAGUAACACUGCUCCAAUUUUUGAAGGAAGCAUGGCUGAGUCAACAGUACUACCUGCUCAACCUGAUGCCUUUUUAGCACCGGAAAAGAUACCACAGAGCCUGAGAUCUCCAACCAUAGAGAUCCAUGACAAUAUUAAUAUAGGUGAAGAACCAAUUCCACACUGAACGUGCUAAGUUUGAGUCAAUAAUUUUUCUACAUUAUAUAGAUUGUCGUCUUUUUAGUUUGCUUGGUUAUAUUCUUAUAUCAUAUAUGAAUACGUUGAUCUCAUUACUGUAGGAAUCUUUUACGGCUCUAGCUAUUACAUAUUCCUAAAAUUGUUUAAUUUUUUUAAUUUCCAAUACUUGAUUCA